UUCUCUUGAGAGCGGCGGACGGGUGAGUAAUGCCUAGGAAUCUGCCUGGUAGUGGGGGAUAACGUCCGGAAACGGACGCUAAUACCGCAUACGUCCUACGGGAGAAAGCAGGGGACCUUCGGGCCUUGCGCUAUCAGAUGAGCCUAGGUCGGAUUAGCUAGUUGGUGGGGUAAUGGCUCACCAAGGCGACGAUCCGUAACUGGUCUGAGAGGAUGAUCAGUCACACUGGAACUGAGACACGGUCCAGACUCCUACGGGAGGCAGCAGUGGGGAAUAUUGGACAAUGGGCGAAAGCCUGAUCCAGCCAUGCCGCGUGUGUGAAGAAGGUCUUCGGAUUGUAAAGCACUUUAAGUUGGGAGGAAGGGCAGUAAAUUAAUACUUUGCUGUUUUGACGUUACCGACAGAAUAAGCACCGGCUAACUCUGUGCCAGCAGCCGCGGUAAUACAGAGGGUGCAAGCGUUAAUCGGAAUUACUGGGCGUAAAGCGCGCGUAGGUGGUUCGUUAAGUUGGAUGUGAAAUCCCCGGGCUCAACCUGGGAACUGCAUUCAAAACUGACGAGCUAGAGUAUGGUAGAGGGUGGUGGAAUUUCCUGUGUAGCGGUGAAAUGCGUAGAUAUAGGAAGGAACACCAGUGGCGAAGGCGACCACCU
rnacentral:rRNA from 1 species